UGUACAGUCUGUUCUUUGAAAAGGAGGAGGAGGGGGGAGGGGGAGGAUGAGGAGGAUAAAAGAGUUGGAAGGGACCUUGUAAAUCUUGUACUCCAACCCCCCAUUCAAGGAGGAGACCGUAUUCCAUUUCAUACAAAGGUUGUCCAAUCACUUCUUAAAAACCUCCAGCGCUGGAACAUCCACAAACUCUGGAGGCAAGUUGUUCCAUUGAUUAAUUGUUCUCGCUGUCAGGAAAUUUCUCCUUACACUCACCAAAAAGCUGAGACUGUUAAUAAAAUAAUGUAUCAUUGAUGAUUGGCACCAGAAAAAAAUGUCUGAAUAUUUUAAAUCUUUGCUGAAAAUGAACCGUUUUCUUAGGAUUGGAAUGUGAAUUACAAAAUGCACAUAGAAGUGAUGCUCACACAAAUGUAUUAGUCAAUGCCCUGAGGGGCUCUUUUAUCCCAACAGAUAUGUAAAUCAAGACACCAUUUCCCCUUUAAAGGAGCCCCAUAGUUUCCCUUUUCAGAAAACUCCCACCAACAUAAACCUUGUGCUAUUUCCAGAAUCCUCUCUUGACAAUUCCCUCCACUCAUUAGAGUGAGCAAAAUGUGGCAAAACAUUCUCUUCAUACUACUAGUCCUCAAAGGAGUGCAGUCUCAAGGACAGUUGGUGGAAUCUGGAGGGGAUGUGAGAAGACCUGGAGAGUCCCUUCUUUCUCUCCUGCCAAGGUUCUGGAUACAACUUCGGUGGCUACAGCAUGAGCUGGGAGUCCAGUCUCAAGUGCAGUUGGUGGAGUCUGGAGGAGAUGUGCGAAGACCUGGAGGGUCCCUCCGUCUCUCCUGCCAAGCCUCUGGAUUUGAUUUCAGCAGAUAUGGCAUGGGCUGGGUGAGACAGACUCCUGGGAAAGGACUGGAAUGGGUUGCAAGCAUGGCUACAUCUAGCACUUACUACUCAGACAAAGUGAAGGGUCGCUUCACCAUCUCCAGGGACAAUGCCAAAAGCCAGCUGUAUCUGCAAAUGAACAGCCUCAAAGCUGAAGACACGGCAGUCUAUUACUGUGCAAGAGGCACAGUGAGAGGAAGUAAAUCUGAAGCCAGGCAAGAACCUUCCUUUCUUCAGAGCAGCUCUUCAAUUUGACUAGAUUAGUCAAUGAGGAUUGAUCUUUUUUUUCCCCUUUCUCUCAUUCUUCCUUCCCCGCCCUGAGCAAUUCUGGACAAACUGUCAAACUAAAAGAAACACGUGUCUUAGAAAACAAUUAAACCCAUCAGUCUCACUAGGUAGAACUUUUGUAACACUAACAAGACAGACAUAAACCAUACAGAGAAACACAUUUACAUGAACAAAGAAAUACUUCCCAAGGACAAUAUUAAUCACUACUGGUCCAAACAGACACAAACUAGAUGGAAUUAAAUGAACAUUUUUUUAAAAAAAAAAGCCAAAUCAUAAUCUCAAUAACUUGAGGGGUAUAAGAACAGGACCCCUCACCUUGGGAAACUAUUAGCUAGUCCAGAAACCAUCCCUGUACCAUUACUCCAUCUGGUUUCUGUAAAUAAACCUACUUUCUGGCAGCUUUUUUCAUUCUGUAUCAUUUCUUCCAACUGAGCCGAAGGUCUGCUUCCCAGCUGGAGACCCGAAUCAUGGGAAAUCUUCCCACAAUUCAUAAAACAAAUGUCAUUAGAUAUUAUCUCAUUCUGAAGGACUGAUAAUUAUUAUUUUUUAAAAAAUAUUUUUGUACUAAUUCACUGAAAAGUUCUCAAGAAAAUUUCACAUCUCAGUGGGCUACAGUCUUCACUGUGAAACUGAUAUGCAUACAAACAUACAUACAUACAUACAUACAUAUAUAUACACACAUUGGUGGAUUGUUGGUUUUG